AGCGAACGCUGGCGGCGUGCCUAACACAUGCAAGUCGAACGUGAAAAGGGAAACCUGAGUAAAGUGGCGUACGGGUGAGUAACGCGUAGGUAAUCUACCCCAGAAUCUGGAAUAACCUGCCGAAAGGCGGGCUAAUACUGGAUAGAGCGAGGGAACUCGUAAGAGAGUUUUUCGGGAAAGGGAGCCCGCAAGGGCCUUCGUUCUGGGAUGAGCCUGCGUCUCAUUAGCUAGUUGGUAAGGUAACGGCUUACCAAGGCGAUGAUGAGUAGCUGGUCUGAGAGGAUGAUCAGCCACACUGGAACUGAAACACGGUCCAGACUCCUACGGGAGGCAGCAGUGGGGAAUCUUGCGCAAUGGACGAAAGUCUGACGCAGCCACGCCGCGGGAGUGAAGAAGGCCUUCGGGUUGUAAAGCUCUGUCGAAUGGGACGAACAUCUUCAUAGUGAAUAGCUAUGAGGACUGACGGUACCAUCAAAGGAAGCACCGGCUAACUCCGUG
rnacentral:rRNA from 1 species